rnacentral:misc_RNA from 1 species
UCCGAAGGGGGCUAGCGCGGUUCGGACUUACUGGGCGGAAAGCGCACGUAGGCGGAUCGUUAAGUCGGGGGUGAAAUCCCGAGGCUCAACCUCGGAACUGCCUUCGAUACUGGCGAUCUUGAGUCCGAGAGAGGUGAGUGGAACUCCGAGUGUAGAGGUGAAAUUCGUAGAUAUUCGGAAGAACACCAGUGGCGAAGGCGGCUCACUGGCUCGGUACUGACGCUGAGGUGCGAAAGCGUGGGGAGCAAACAGG